rnacentral:lncRNA from 12 species
UGUGCCUCCAGAGCCUGCAACCUGAGCACAGGGCAGCCAGAUUUGUGUCAUUCCAGGUCUUUUUAGCAGAAAGGUAUUGCUUGUGAAAAAUACCCAGCUUUACCCAAUCAGCAAAUCAAGACAUAAGUAAGCAAAAAAUCCUAUAAGUGAUUAUGAACUUCUAAUCUGCAUAGAUCACUAAUCAAGGACUGUCAAGAAAUGAUGUGUGUGCUUAAGGACACCACAAAUGAGAAAGGGCAGU